rnacentral:lncRNA from 1 species
CUAAUACUCUCUUUACUGUCUCAAGUGGAAGUCCAAACAAAUUUCAUUUUUGUAGUAAAAAAUCUUUAUUUCCAAAAUGAUUUGUUAGCCAAAAGAACUAUAAACCACCUAACAAGACUUUGGUAAGAAAGAGACUUGAUGCUUCUUAUAAAUUCCCCAUUGCAAACAAAAAAUAACAACAAUCCAAGAAGAGUCAUGUUACCCAUUCUUAGCCAUUAACCUGGUUUUAAGUCUCCAAAAUCAGGAUUUUAAAAUGUACCCAACUGGGACCAAAUACAAACAUGAGACACUAGGGUGGCUUGUCCUUGAUUAGGAAUCACCAGCUUAAGGAACUUUAUCAUGGGCUGAGAGUUAGAUACAUAGCUUAGAACAACAUUGCAAAAGUGGGCGCUUCUAUAUGAGGACUUUUUUUCCCCCCAAGUAGAAAAUAAUUAAAUCUUGUGUUUCUUUAUAUUGUGCUUUUUUUGGGAGAAAGCAAUUCAUUUAAGGAUUUAAAACAUGUUGGAUACAAAGGUAGUUCAGAGAUGUAAUAAUGGUCCCUCCAAGAACAAGGGAGCAAAAGCCCUAUCUUUUAUUGAAAAUGAUGGAGGUGGAGGGCAAUGUAAAAAAGAACCUUCUGAACACUUACUUAGCUUAAAGACAUGAAAGACCCAGUGAGUUUUUAUUGAACAGUCUCUCUUGUGUUCAAAGUACAUGUUCAGGACUAUACUAUGUUGUAUUUGGAAAUAUUCUGAUGUGUUUAAUACAAAUUCGUAGUGUAUUCAGAGCAUUGUAUGUGUCUCACCAAUGGCACACAUUUGGAUUAAGCAGUAAUAAGGCCUGUAAAAGAAGAAAUGAAACAAUAGUUUUCAACAAUAAAUGCAGGAAGAAAAACUGCUGAUGGACCCAACUGAGAAAAUGUCCUUUUACACUAUCCCUUGGUGGUCAGUCUCCCUGAAUCUGGUGUGCUUAUAAUUGCUGGGGAGGCAGUGUAAACCUGUGGCCAUUCCUAUGCAUGUCUGGGAGGACCACAGCCCUGGUGUGGAGCACUGACAGGUUUGACUUUCCACCAGAAUUGCUUGCUCAGCUUAAUCCCAUAAUAUUCCUUUCCCUUAGAUUUGUUUUCUGUCUCGGUAACUUUUUCUCUCUGCAUAUAAAAUUUCAUGACUAAAAUAACUUUAAAGUACAGAGAUUGUAUUUUGUUGAAGGAAUGCAUUGGGGGGGCUUUGGGCAGACUUAGCAAAAUGUUUGUAUAGCAAAAAUGUUUUCUUGCUAAGAACUGAUUUGCAAACUUGAAAGUCUAGAUGUGUGUAGGAAGAUUUUAAAAUUCAGGCAAAUUGGUCUCUAAAGAGACCAAUUUUGCUUCCUUUGUCUUGGUUCCAAUAAGGAUUUAGUACCAAAAAGUUCAGAAGGCUGGCUUCCCAGAAGAAUUGUACGUACUCCUCUGAACCCCCAAAAGCAAGGGAAAAAUACACUCUAAGCUUAUUAUUUAUCUCAGGUGUAAAAACUAGCUACCUUAUAUUUAAAUAAAGCAGCCAUAAUUUAUUUAUUUAUUUUUGUUGGGGGGCAUCAGGAACCAAUAUCAGGGGUGAGAUAAAUGUAUUCCGAAUUUCUCAGUGAAAACAAAAGCCACCCAACAUCAAUGCUCCUCUUCAAGUCUACCAGCUCUGUUUUUCCCCAGGAACUAUUGAUGACUGAGGAGACUUGAAAAGAGACCUAAAGUUCCGCUAAGAAGAGAUGGGCAAACAAUGGUUUCAUUGAACAGGCCAAAGAUGAGAAUGUGGGGAAUCUGCUGUCUUCAUCUGUGAAUGUUUCCUACCUGCCGCACCCUGGGACUCAGGCAUAGUCACUUCCAGACAUGGUUGCCUCUCCAUGUGGAGUAGGUCAAAGUCUCCAUCCUGCCUGGCCAGGUGGAAGCUCCAGAGGGACAUGUUUCAGUUUAGUACAAGGUGGCUGACACUACUCCUCUGCAGGAAGAGGCUGGCUGGAGGUGAGGGCGCCCCACUCAGCCUGUACCCAUCAAGAAGUAUUCAGAAAGGAUGUCUCUGACAUCCACAAGACUACUGGGCGAACCACACUGCAAAAAUGAAAACUAGUGUACACAAUUUAAAUUGUCUUAAACGAGCAAAUAAUCCAGCCAUUGGUGACUCUGGAAUCUAGAGUGCAGCCCUGGGGAACUCGUACCCUUGCUAACAAGGAUGAACAUUGCAUGCUCUGAUCUCCUUCUUGUCUUUGCAGCUGGUAAACUGGGAGCUUUUGAAUCUCUUCUUUACAGUCAUGUAACGUUCCUGAAUUCCACCUCCGCACAGUUUGGUGCAUUCUGACCAGGCCGUCCAUGGGCGCAUCCUACAACCUGAAAGCAUGAGAAUGCCUUGUUAGGCCCGCAGAAACGGGACGGAACAGGGAUGCUGAACUCUAGUAGAACUGUGAAAUGUGCUUGUCUGGGCUCCUCCUCUGCUCAAGUAUGUAAUGAUUGGUUAGAGUCGUUAUUAGGGACAGUUAGGUCGUAUGUGACUGACUGCAAAAAAUGGCCACAAAUGCUUCACGGUUCUUCUCAUCAAAAGGCAGACUCUGUUUCUCCACCUCUUGAAUCUGGGCUUGACUACAUGAUUUGCCAUGGCCAAUGGGACAUGAGCAAAAACAGGCCUAAAAGCUGCUAGGACCCUUCUACUACCAUGUAAGCAAGCCUGGCUAGACCACUGGAGAGACCAUGUGCAGAGAAGCCCCAGCCAUCUCAUGAGGCCCCAGAUACGCAGGUCCAAGACUUAGCCCAGUGCAGAGCCCUGCCUGUCGUGGAGACCACCCAGGCUGACACUUGGGAGCCAUACCUGGGAACUGCUCCCCUUCAGACUCUUCCUUCAGCUGCUCACUCCGCCGGCUCUCUCGGGCCUCCCUCCAGCGUAGCUUCUGGAUGGAUGGAUUUCGAAGGCAUUUUCGGAUGCGGCACUUUUUUCGCUGCACAGUCUCUGGGCAGGGUGCACCUCCAAACUGAGGCUCCAUUUGGAUCAUCCGGGUUCGAAUCACGUGGCCUUUCCCACAUGACUUGUUACAUUCCGACCACUGGGACCACUCGGUGAGCUCACAGUCAAUGGCUGGCAAGACACAGAUGGGCAUGAGUGUAUCACAUGUCUGAAACAAGAUAUGGUCACGCUCUCCUUUGAACAUCUCAACAAGCCUAUGAGGGAUGCAAAGCAGGUGCUGUGUCAUGCUAUUUUACAGAAGAAGAAACUGAUGCUCCAAAGAGGCAGGCUGACUUCAGCCCGUGUGGUUGGUAAGCAGCAAAGGCAGGAUUGGUGCCAGGUCAUCACCCAUUCUAUGCUCCCUCUAUGACUCAAGAAGGCUUUGGAGGACUUUCAGGAUGUGUUCAGAGCCUCUUGCCCUGCUCUGUGAACUAGAAUAUUGUCAGAUCAGCCUCAAGUACAGAAUAGCUUCCCACAGUCCCAAACUCACUGGUGAUAUUUUUCAGAGCAAGGCCAACAAGCCCCCUGCUGCUCUUGGGAGAGAACAAGUCAACAAGCUAAAGGCGGCUGACCCUUGUGGACCAAUACCAAGGACAUUGUGGUUCUAACACACCCUGGCAGCUUUUCAUUCUCAACAUCAUCCUGUGUUCUAUAUAUGGUGGUCUAUGCAAAAAACACAGGAGCCAGAAAUGGGACAUUCAGUAGAGAAGAGGGUCAGGAGCAAGUGGUGCUUUAUGGUUUAUCGAGAUCCAGUAAAUUCUUACUAAGCCAGCAUCUCAUAAAUGUGAAAGGAAAAUAACACAUCAGUUUGACUGUCAGGAUGUGUCCCAGGGAGGUAAAUUAUUCCAAGCUCUCUGUUGGCCUUGCAAGGCCAAAGUCAGGGUGGUGGACUUAGAUGUCCUCAUUUAGUUCAACAGUUUCAAGUUCUUUUA